UGGAAUAGAGAUGAACAAUCUAAUGAAACUAAGUUGACACCAUAAAGUUUCUUGGAAUGACUUAUAAUUUGGUCAAAUUUGAGAUACUUGACUCUCCAAGAUACUUAUAUAGUUCCUUCUGCACCUUAGUUAAUAACUUAAAGACUUUCUUAGCGCUUUCAUUUGGCUCUUCAGUUUGGAUUUCUCCAUGUAUUGCACCACUGAUUAGUGAGGAAACUAAAUCAUUUAUAGACGGAC
rnacentral:lncRNA from 1 species